rnacentral:tRNA from 1 species
AUCCACGAUGGCCGAGACUAGGCAUCGAGCUUUUAACUCGAUCACAGUUAUUAAUAACUUCAGGAUA